rnacentral:rRNA from 1 species
UACGUAGGGAGCAAGCGUUGUCCGGAAUCAUUGGGCUUAAAGGGCGCGUAGGCGGGUCAGCAAGUCCGGGGUGAAAUCUUUCGGCUUAACCGGAAAAGUGCCUUGGAUACUGCUGGUCUAGAGGGAGGUAGGGGCAUGUGGAACUUCCGGUGGAGCGGUGAAAUGCGUUGAUAUCGGAAGGAACGCCGGUGGCGAAAGCGACGUGCUGGAUCUCUUCUGACGCUGAGGCGCGAAAGCCAGGGGAGCAAACGGG